GUCAACCACCCACCGCUUAUGCUCUGACGAGCUUUGAAGCGGGGGCUUGUGAAAACAAGUCAGUUGAUUAGCCUAAGUGCUCAGUGCACUACGUUAUCCGCGAAUAACGAUAUAAGGAAUCCUCCCGCAUAGCGGGUCCCUCCUUGUAUCAAGCAUAGGUACCCCGGGAUGCUCCACAAGUCCCUGGCACUA
rnacentral:sRNA from 1 species